GCUGCUGCAACCCGCUGCCCUCUGGUGUCCUGCUGUGGGAGCUUUGUUCUUUCACUCUCGUAAUAAGUCUUGCUGCUGCUCACUCUUUGGGUCCGCACUGUCUCUGUGAGCUGUAACACUCACCGCGAGGUUCUGUGCCUUCGUUCUUUAAGUCAGGGAGACCACGAACCCACCGGGAGGAACAAACAACUGUGAUGCGCCAUCUUUAAGAGCUGUAACAUUCACCGCCGGGGUCUGCGGCUUCAUUCCUGGAGUGAGUGAGACCACGAACCCACCAGAAGGAAGAAACUCUGGACCCAUCUGAACAGCUGAAGGAACAAACUCCGGACACACCAUCUUUAAGAACUGUAACACUCACCGGGAGUCUCCGUGGCUUCAUUCUUGAAGACAGCGAGACCAAGAACCCACCAGAAGGAAUGAAUUCCGCACACAGCAACAGCACAAAGUUAAACCAGGAAGUCCCUCUGCCUUGCUAGGGAUCCAGGUUUGCCUUCCUGUUGAGGUAUCCCAUUUCAUUACAGUUGACCUAAGUUUGAACAAACACUGCCACCUGAUGCAUGAAAGCUCUACUGUGACCUACGUUAAAAGGAGCUGACACUCCCUCAGGCUACCUUAGUCAGUGGGGGCUUACUGCAGCAUACCUGUGGCGAUGAGAGAGAGAGGCACAUCACAGGAGCAUCUGGCACCAGUGGCAUCCUGGACAUUGGUUGGUAUGUUGCAGAGCCCAGAGGAUGUCACGGUGAACUCACACUGAUAAAGACAUAUCUGGAAGGCUGUCUUCCACUCCCUGGAUGAAGAUGAGGUUAAAGCUAUUCCAGACAUCUUAUUUCAUGAAGAAUGGUAUGACAGAGAAGGCCCUAAAGCCUGGUGCUCAGAGAAACUGGUAAUGGCCCCAAAGGAUGACUACACUGUGGCCAGUGAUGCAUGGCAGAGAUUUGACUGUUGGAGGCCAAAAGAUUGAGGGUCGUGAUUAACUUAGUAUACCACUGGAGGCUAUAUGAGUAAACAGCAAACUGUUCUCAUAAAUGCGGAAUGUUGGCAAACUGACAAACUGUGUAUGCCACCCAGAAGUAGUGCUGAGGGCAGUCACACCCCAAGUGCAACGUUUCUUGUGAUUAGGUACAUCUGAAGCCUCUUGGUAAUAAUAUGAACCUGUGAUCAAUUAAGCAGCCGACCAAUUGUUACUGCCGCCUCCUUGCUCUUGUUACCCAAUAAAUACAAAGGGCUGUAGAAGCUCCGGGAGGAGGGGGCUGCCCUUGCUCACUAGAAGCAGGGAGCUCUCUUCUUCUUCCCCUGGCCCUUUCUUUAAAACAGAUUUCUUUUGUCUUAAGUUUUCAUUUCUGCGUUUGUCCCUUUGUUCAGUCUUGUAAUGACAGUCUCAAGUAGUGACAGUAGUAACUGUCAUAAUGACGGUCUCAGGUAGUAACAGUAGAAACUGUCACAGUGAUGGUCUCAAGUAGUAACUGUGGCAGUCUGCCACAUUUGACCAUCAUUAUUUUUCUUUAUGAAUAACAGUAGGGUGCCCAUGUGUAUACGUAAGGACUGAUAUCUCUUUCAAAAGCGAGAGUCAAUAAUUUGUUUUGAGUAGUGAAUCUGUUUGGUGAGUCAACGGUCCAUAGACUACAGAUGGAUUGCAAAGCAUAAUGCAGUUCAAGGACUAAGAAAAAUGAACUUACCUACAUUCAUGGCAUUUUGCAUGUAAUUUCAAGAAGGAACUUCAGAAUUACAAAACCUGUUGAGUUUUCAUAGCAGUCAAUAGAUCCUGGGGUUCAAAAUUCCUCAUUUAGACCAGGAAGUGGGUAGACCUAGAACCAUAUUUAAAGAGAAUGGUCUGGGCCGGGUGCAGUGGCUCAUGCCUGUAAUCCCAGCACUUUGAGAGGCCGAGGCAGGAGGAUCAUGCGGUGAAGAGAUCAAGACCAUCCUGGCCAACAUGGUGAAACCCCGUCUCUACUAAAAAUACAAAAAUGAG
rnacentral:lncRNA from 1 species